ensembl:snoRNA SNORA71 Small nucleolar RNA SNORA71
UCCUGUAUCGAAAGUGGUCAUGGCGUCGUUGUUGCCAGGUCAUUGAUAGUACAGGAAGAACACCCUGUGAGCCUUUCCCGUGUUUGAAGGCCUGAACGUUCCUCUCAGACCCUGAUGCUCUCAGACA